CAAUCUACCUUACCGUCCGGGAUAGCUAGCCGAAAGGUUAGCUAAUACCAGAUACGUUCAUCGAGCGGCAUCGCUUGAUGACGAAAGCAGCAAUGCGCGGUUAGAGGAGCCUGCGGCCCAUUAGCUAGUUGGUGAGGUAAUGGCCCACCAAGGCGACGAUGGGUAGCUGGUCUGAGAGGACGACCAGCCACACUGGGACUGAGACACGGCCCAG
rnacentral:rRNA from 1 species